rnacentral:rRNA from 1 species
GAUGAACGCUGGCGGCGUGCUUAACACAUGCAAGUCGAACGAAGCACCUUAGACAGAAGCCUUCGGGCGGAAGACUUUGGUGACUUAGUGGCGGACGGGUGAGUAACGCGUGGGUAACCUGCCCUGUACCGGGGGACAACAGUUGGAAACGACUGCUAAUACCGCAUAAGCGCACAGCAUCGCAUGAUGCAGUGGGAAAAACUCCGGUGGUACAGGAUGGAACCGCGUCUGAUUAGCUAGUUGGUGAGGUAACGGCUUACCAAGGCAACGAUCAGUAGCCGACUUGAGAGAGUGAUCGGCCACAUUGGGACUGAGACACGGCCCAAACUCCUACGGGAGGCAGCAGUGGGGAAUAUUGCACAAUGGGGGAAACCCUGAUGCAGCGACGCCGCGUGAAGGAAGAAGUAUUUCGGUAUGUAAACUUCUAUCAGCAAGGAAGAAAAUGACGGUACUUGACUAAGAAGCCCCGGCUAAAUACGUGCCAGCAGCCGCGGUAA